GAGAGGACCGGAGUGGACGCAUCACUGGUGUUCGGGUUGUCAUGCCAAUGGCACUGCCCGGUAGCUAAAUGCGGAAGAGAUAAGUGCUGAAAGCAUCUAAGCACGAAACUUGCCCCGAGAUGAGUUCUCCCUGACUCCUUGAGAGUCCUGAAGGAACGUUGAAGACGACGACGUUGAUAGGCCGGGUGUGUAAGCGCAGCGAUGCGUUGAGCUAACCGGUACUAAUGAACCGUGAGGCUUAACCUUACAACGCCGAAG
rnacentral:rRNA from 1 species